rnacentral:rRNA from 1 species
CAGUAGCCGCGGUAAAACAGAGGGUGCGAGCGUUAAUCGGAUUUACUGGGCGUAAAGCGUGCGUAGGCGGCUUCUUAAGUCGGAUGUGAAAUCCCUGAGCUUAACUUAGGAAUUGCAUUCGAUACUGGGAAGCUAGAGUAUGGGAGAGGAUGGUAGAAUUCCAGGUGUAGCGGUGAAAUGCGUAGAGAUCUGGAGGAAUACCGAUGGCGAAGGCAGCCAUCUGGCCUAAUACUGACGCUGAGGUACGAAAGCAUGGGGAGCAAACAGGAUUAGAUACCCGCGUAGUCCCUGUCUCUUAUAC